rnacentral:lncRNA from 1 species
CCAUUGGCCUACUUAUAUCAAUAUGAAUGUUGAUCCUUUUGAUUUAAAUAUUGGUGCUUUAUUGACUAUUCAUAGGAGAUGGAAUGUAAAUCGUUUGGCCACAUUUUUUCAAUGCUGAUAUGAUGAACCAAAUCUAUCGAAUCCCUGUGGUGCGAGGCACUUGCUUUGAUCAAUUCACAUGGGGCUUAAAUAGGCUUAAUAGUAUCUUCAUGAAAGAUAUGUACCAUCUUGUGGAGAUGCCUUCGUAUAUGGUCAUUCUUUUCAUAUUUUAAGGGGG